CGUAGGUGGCAAGCGUUGUCCGGAUUUAUUGGGUUUUAAAGGGUGCGUAGGCGGUCUUAUAAGUCAGUGCUGAAAUAUCCCGGCUUAACCGGGAGGGUGGCAUUGAUACUGUAGGACUUGAGUAAAGUUGAGGUUGGCGGAAUUGACGGUGUAGCGGUGAAAUGCUUAGAUAUCGUCAAGAACACCGAUAGUGUAGACAGCUAACUAAGCUUUAACUGACGCUGAGGCACGAAAGUGUGGGGAUCAAACAGGAUUAGAUACCCUGGUAGUCCACACUGUAAACGUUGAAGACUCGCUGUUGGCGAUACACAGUCAGCGGCUGAGAGAAAUCGUUAAGUCUUCCACCUGGGGAGUACGCCGGCAACGGUG
rnacentral:rRNA from 1 species